UACUGUCAAUGGUUUCUCUGAUGGGAUGUGGAUAUAUGUAUCCCUCUGACCUAAGACUGUCUUGGUGACUUGCAAGCAACUCACUGUGCUUUGGUACUAGACUACCCAAAUUUCUAAUUCGAUAAUGGAAGGUUACUGGGUACAGUCAAGUACUUGUGAAGUUUGAGUGUGAGUCAAGAUGGGAUUGAUCGCUCCAAGUAAAAUUGGAGAUAAUGCAUCAUUGUAUUUCAAUUUAGCAAAAUUUUGAUCAAAGUAAUCCUAG
rnacentral:lncRNA from 1 species